UACGGAGGAUGCAAGCGUUAUCCGGAUUUAUUGGGUUUAAAGGGUGCGUAGGCGGGAUUGUAAGUCAGUGGUGAAAUCUCCCGGCUUAACCGGGAAACUGCCAUUGAUACUGCUUUCCUUGAGUGCAGUUGAGGUGGGCGGAAUGUGUAAUGUAGCGGUGAAAUGCUUAGAUAUUACACAGAACACCUAUUGCGUAGGCAGCUCACUAAUCUGUAACUGACGCUGAGGCACGAAAGCGUGGGGAGCGAACAGG
rnacentral:rRNA from 1 species